rnacentral:lncRNA from 1 species
CGAGGGGGCUGAGAGGAGGAGGGCUGCUCAGUGGAGCAGGAACCGGAGGCCACAGAGAAGGUCAGAGCUCUGGGGCAGGCCCGGAAGAGAAGCUUCUAGUGCUUGUCUCGUUUAUAGAAGGUGACAACGGAUUUUUCCAUUUCUACUUGAUGAGCACUCUGGCUUGUUCUCAUCCUUCUCCCAGUCAGAGAGAAAAAUAAAGAUUUCUUCCUCAUCGGAGGGCAGCUGCGACCAGUUCUCUGAGAGAAAUCAUUAAGCCUGCAGGAUUCAGAGCACAGAGCCCUGAAGAGCUGAGGCUUCCUCACCUUCCGGCGGUUUCAGGCACUGGCACCCUGAGAGGUGAGUGUUUGUACCGUACCCC